AGGUGCGAUCAUACCAGCAUUAAUGCACCUGAUCCCAUCAAAACUCCGCAGUUAAGCGUGCUUGGGUGAGAGUAGUGUUAGGAUGGGUGACCUCCUGGGAAGCUGAUGAGUCGAUAUUU
rnacentral:rRNA from 2 species